rnacentral:rRNA from 1 species
AACGAACGCUGGCGGCAGGCUUAACACAUGCAAGUCGAGCGCCCCGCAAGGGGAGUGGCAGACGGGUGAGUAACGCGUGGGAAUCUACCGUACCCUACGGAAUAACGCAUGGAAACGUGUGCUAAUACCGUAUACGCCCUACGGGGGAAAGAUUUAUCGGGGUAUGAUGAGCCCGCGUUGGAUUAGCUAGUUGGUGGGGUAAAGGCCUACCAAGGCGACGAUCCAUAGCUGGUCUGAGAGGAUGAUCAGCCACAUUGGGACUGAGACACGGCCCAAACGCCUACGAGAGGCAGCAGUGGGAAAUAUUGGACAAUGGGCGCAAGCCUGAUCCAGCCAUGCCGCGUGAGUGAUGAAGAUCUUAGGAUUGUAAAGCUCUUUCACCGGAGGAGAUAAUGACGGUAUCCGGAGAAGAAGCCCCGGCUAACUUCGUGCCAGCCGCCGCCGUAAGAC